CCUACGGGUGGCAGCAGUGGGGAAUAUUGCGCAAUGGGCGAAAGCCUGACGCAGCGACGCCGCGUGAGGGAUGAAGGUCUUCGGAUCGUAAACCUCUGUCAGCAGGGAAGAAAGGUCUCUGUGUUAAUCAGCAGUGAAUUGACGGUACCUGCAAAGGAAGCACCGGCUAACUCCGUGCCAGCCGCCGCGGUAAUACGGAGGGUGCGAGCGUUAAUCGGAAUUACUGGGCGUAAAGCGCCCGUAGGCGGUAUGUCAAGUCAAGGGUGAAAUCCCCGGGCUCAACGUGGGAACUGCCUUUGAAACUGGCAAACUGGAGUGUGUGAGAGGAUAGUGGAAUUCCAGGUGUAGGGGUGAAAUGCGUAGAUAUCAGGAGGAACAUCAGUGGCGAAGGCGACUAUCUGGCACAUAACUGACGCUGAGGAGCGAAAGCGUGGGUAGCAAACAGGAUUAGAUACCCCAGUAGUC
rnacentral:rRNA from 1 species